rnacentral:rRNA from 1 species
CCUACGGGUGGCAGCAGUGGGGAAUAUUGGGCAAUGGAGGAAACUCUUACCCAGCAACGCCGCGUGAAUGAUGAAGGUCUUCGGAUUGUAAAGUUCUUUUCUUAGGGACGAAGACAAUGACGGUACCCUAGGAAUAAGCCCCGGCUAACUACGUGCCAGCAGCCGCGGUAAAACGUAGGGGGCGAGCGUUAUCCGGAAUGACUGGGCGUAAGGGGUUGGUAGGUGGUUUGGAAAGUUAGUAGUGUAAACCCAAGGCUCAACCUAGGUACUACUACUAAAACUGGUAGACUUGAGUGCAGGAGAGGAAAGCGGAAUUCCUAGUGUAGCGGUGGAAUGCGUAGAUAUUAGGAGGAACACCAGUGGCGAAGGCGAGUUGCUAGACUGUAACUGACGCUGAGGCACGAAAGCGUGGGGAGCAAACAGGAUUAGAUACCCCAGUAGUC